UGUGCGGAGCAUCAUGACACGAGGCUGCAACACAUUAAUUUCAUGCGUUAAAUUACGCUUAGCUGUACUUGUAUGUGUUGAAGACCCACCGUGAAGAUGUUUUUAUCAUCUGGUUAAAGCAAUGAGACUCAACCUUACGGAGGUCUCGAGGCGAGCAGCCGGAGGCUGCCUGCUAGCUAACCUGCUAGCCGGUCAACACGUGUGAGGCGCGAGGAGUCCACGCUGGCUCGGGAGAUAAAGCUGCAUGCGAGCCAAAGUGGUCAGUGAGUGAAGCACACUUCCUUGAUGAAUCAAUGCUCAAAGAUGACAGGUGUUCAUGUCUCAGAGCAGUGAAGGCCGGAAGUCCUCAGUGAAAAGAUGCGGCUUGGGCGACUGAGCAGAAAAAGCGUGCUUGUAUCAAAGAUGACAUGCACAGGGAAGCUCUGAUCUACUGGACAAAUCCAGAUGUUUGGUGCCAUGGAACAAUAACACUUUCUGUAAAGAGACCUGUGUAAUGAAAAUAAACUCUUUUUAUUAAAA